UACGAAGGGUGCAAGCGUUAUCCGGAUUCAUUGGGUUUAAAGGGUGCGCAGGCGGAUAUGUAAGUCAGUGGUGAAAUCUCUAGGCUUAACCUGGAAAUUGCCGUUGAUACUAUAUAUCUUGAAUGCUGUGGAGGUAAGCGGAAUAUGUCAUGUAGCGGUGAAAUGCUUAGAUAUGACAUAGAACACCUAUUGCGAAGGCAGCUUACUACGCAGAUAUUGACGCUCAUGCACGAAAGCGUGGGGAUCAAACAGG
rnacentral:rRNA from 1 species